rnacentral:rRNA from 1 species
UACGUAGGCAGCGAGCGUUGUUCGGAAUUACUGGGCGUAAAGAGUGUGUAGGCGGUGCUCUAAGUUCGGUGUGAAAUCUCCUGGCUCAACUGGGAGGGUGCGCCGGAAACUGGAGUGCUUGAGCGUGGGAGAGGAAAACGGAAUUCCUGGUGUAGCGGUGAAAUGCGUAGAUAUCAGGAGGAACACCUGUGGUGUAGACGGCUUUCUGGACCAUAGCUGACGCUGAGACGCGAAAGCGUGGGGAGCGAACAGG